CAACGCUGUAUAGGGACUUUCUGACCUCCUGAUUUUCUACUGGAAUACGGAACAGCUUGGUUUCUUCAUGGAGUUUCUGUGAAGACUUUCAGAAGUCCACAAAGCUACACAAGCCUCAUACAAAGCCUAAUCCUUUCAAAAGAUCAGAAGAGGAUGAAUGCACUUCUUCCUACACUAUUACCAAUUCUCCUUCUCAAGGUGACCCAAGAGGCUAUGUCUCCAUCCUCCUCUACAGUUAGAGAAAAUGGUGGUCUUCUCUGAUAACCUGGCAUUUGGCAACAGCACUGCAGACUUCCAAGUCUGAAAAAAGCAGGAGGAGCUAAAGUGGUUAUCAAGACUUUCGCAAAGCACUGAAGAGAUUAUGGGGAAAUACGCUCACUAGUCCAAGAACAACUAUCUUCUUGGGAAUCUGCCGUACCUACAAACCUGCCACUAGAACAGCUGGAGAACAAAGUAUAUUUCAUAGCCUCUUUAAACUUUCUUCUCAAACUC